CUUUCAUAAGCAUCAUUACAUAACAUUUCUAUAUCAUACUUUUACAUUACAUCAUAUCCAUGUCCACAUCUAGCUAUUACAUAACACAUGACUCUACUCCUGCUGACCUCCUGGUCUACCCUGUACCUGCAAACCUGGGGGUUAAGGGAGAGGGGUGAGCUAUAAAGCCCAGUGAGUAGAAUAAUUAAACAUUCAAUUUAAAUUUCAUGCUUUCAUGAAAUGCAACAUAUCACAAACAAUCCACAUCAAGGAUGAACUUGUUACCAAUAGCCCACUACUCAUUCCAAUAGUGCCAGGGGC
rnacentral:lncRNA from 1 species